AUGGAUAUAUCUCUAGCAGGCAUUCUUCGAACCACUUCAAGAUCAGAAAGUGCAAAUUCUUUUUUUAACCGCUUCAUUCAUCGAAGGCUCGCUUUUGUUGAGUUUUGGUUGAGGUUUGACACAGCUUUAGAAUGCCAACGUGAGGAAGAAUUAAUGGCAGACAACAGAAGCAUACAUACCACCCCUCAACUAUUUACACCAUGGACAAUGGAGAAACAAGGUAGUGAGGUAUUCACAUAUGACGUGUUCGAGAAACUUCAGCUACAGAUUAUUGCUGCUAGAGACCAUUGUUUUGUUCAGAGUAUUACACAAGGUGUGGGGGUAAAAAAUGUGACCCUGAGAGGUCGGUCUGGUAAAGUUAGGGAGGUUUGCUAUGACACUACAAGCAUGACAGCAAACCGUUCGUGCAAGUUGUUUGAGUCAGUCGGUUUUCCAUGUCGCCAUAUUAUCCAAGUGUUGAGGAUUGAAAACCAAAAUGAGCUUCCCAGCCACUACAUUAUGAAAAGAUGGCAGAAGAGGUGCAAAAGGGAGAAUGUUUAUGAUGAACAGGGAAACCUACUAGAAGAAAAACCCACGGAUGCACUGGAUGCGGCCACGAGAAAGAAGAUUUCAACUAUACGCAAUAAGAUGGAAGAACUUAUUCAAAAGGCGAAGCAUUCAGAUGAAGGCAUGGACUUCUUAACAUCAAGUGUUUUGAACAUUGAGGCGCCUUUGGACCAAAUGGUCCCUGCAGCUACCCAAAGCACUAGGCAAGAGGAAUAUGAGGCUUUUAUUGGUUGCAAUAUUCCAACCGAAGUUCAUAUACAUCCGCCAACGGAUGUUCGUACCGUGGGAAGAUGCAAAAGAAUAAAGCAAGGAAAGGAGAUUAAGGAGGGGGAUCGGAAAAAUAAGGACAAAGAAGGGAAGGUAAAGGUCGCACGCUUGUGCAAGACGUGCAAGCAAAUGGUGUUUCAUGAUAGUCGUAAUUGUCCAAGCAAAAAAGGGAAAGGGAGUGUGAUUGUGCAAGAUAUGCAGCCAAAUAGUGCUUCCUGA
rnacentral:rRNA from 1 species